rnacentral:rRNA from 1 species
UUUUGUGACUAGCUACUGAAUCAUAGAAUUUUUUAAAAUUCAUGAUGUCGUAAGGGAAAAUAAUGAUAAUACCUUACUAUGAGUGUCGUCCAAAUCUAGUGCCAGAAGACUCGGUAAGACCAGAGACGCGAACGUUAAUCAUCUUAAACAGGCGUAAAGGGUUUGUAGGCAGCUUUCAUAAGAAUAUGAUUUUUAAAAUAAAGUAAUCUAAUUGAAAGCUAGAAUCAAAAAGAGGUUAUAGUGUAUAACGCCUAGAGGAGGGCUGAUAUCCUUAGAUCCUAGGCAGAAUACUCAGGGCGAAGGCCACUCUCCACUAAUGAUUGACGCUGAGAAACGAAGGUUAGGGUAGGAAAUAGGAUUAGAUACCCCGGUACUCCUUUCUGUAAACGAUGAAUGGUAGUCAUUAGUUUAUUUACAUAACUAGAGAUGAAGUUAACACAAUAACCAUUCCGCCUUGUGAGUACUACUGCAAAGUAGAAAACAAAAAAAUUAGUCGGUCUCGAAGCAAACGGAGUGAAGCAUGUUAUUUAAUUAAUAAAAACUUG